UUGGAGGAGCUGCAGGCUCCAGCUGAUGUAGGAGCUCUGUACAUGAGGUGCUUGGGAAGUCUAGGAAAAAAAAAAAAAAUUAAAUGUGAGAGAUGCCAUCUGACCAACUGGCCCAGAAAUCCCUGAUGAAAUCCAGGGAUGUCAGUGUUACAAGAGGAUGAGAUGUCUGCAGAGCAGUCUUUUAAGGCCUGAUACCUUCGUAGAGGAGGCAGUGUUGGUCACUUUAUGUUCAGAUCUGCUGUGGUGGGCCUAUGGGAGCUGGGCCUGGCCAGGUGCCUGUGCACACCCUGCCUUGGCUGUCCCCUGCUGCAGAGAGCAGUGAAUGCAAAGUGUGGGGCUGUGGGCACAGAGGAGCUCCCCAAGGACCUCACGGGGGCUUUGGGGUGUGUGGGAGCUCCUGGUUUGGGGUCUGGUGCUGCUACAUCUGCCUGGAGCUGUGCUGAGGGAGCAAUGCCCAAAGGGAGGUGGAAACAAUUAAGUUCAGGCUUCAAUUUGUGACAAGCCCUAUGUUAUUCACACUCAUUGCUUCAUCUGAGCUGAAAUUUGAAUCUAAAUUUCAAUGGUCCCUGCUAUUUGCUGCUUUAGUUUGUGUUUACCACCCUUUCUUCCUUCCUUUGCUCCCUUGACAGGCAGAGGAACACACUGCGAAGCUCCUGCAGAGCUAUGCAUUGCUCCCUGGUCUUCCUGCAUCAGUUUCUAGCGCUCUAAGACGAGACAUCAAAUAGAGUGUUAAAAUUGCUCGAAACCAAGCUGCAAGUCUCAACAUCAGAAGGCCUAUUACACUUAUCUGUGACCUCCUGAACACUAAAACCACCGCAUUAUUAUUAUUUUUACAUCUUCGGAUUAUUAUUAGGCUUCUGAACUCUGCUGCAGCUUGAUUUAUAGAAUCUGCUUAGUCACUGGCGCUGCUGCUGUGCUGCGAGGGAGGGAUGGAUGCUCCGCGGUGCUCCAGCAGAGGCUCCUGCCAAGCAGCAGCCGGCGCCCUGACGGAUCACUGGAGGCUGGCGAGCCUUCCUCAGCCCACCGUGGCUGUUAGAACAAACCUGCUUCUCCAUGAAAGCUCGGGCUGAAAAUAUUCAAAGCCUGCUUAACGAAUCCCUUCCUAUCAGUCAGCUGGCAUUUGUUGCUUUGCAUGGAAAGGGAUCGUUGGUUUCGCUGCUCACCUCGCCGGGAGCUCUGCCUGAGGAGCUGGGGAGCAGUGUGCUGGUGAGCUGGGAUCUGAGUUUUGGAAAAGCAGCUCCAGUGAGAGAAGCAAUAAACGCUGCUCUGGGGCUGAGUGUUAUAGGAACCUCCCUCUGUGUCCUGGGAUGCUGCAGGGGUGUCCUGGUGUGUCCCUUGGAGCGCUCUCUCUGCACCCCAUGUGGCUGUGAGCUGCAGAGCUGGGCUUUGCCAACCCAGACGCUGCCCACGCUGCUCGCUGUGACCCGGCACACCUGGGCACGCACCUGGGGCAGAGGCUACGGGACAGGCCCUUACACGAAGGGUGCUGUUCCUGGGUUUUACGAGCACCAGGGCAUGGUAAAUGCUAGUAACUUACUGCUGUUUGAACAUCCCAAUUACAAACCUGU